CUCCGAACCGGUUGAAAAUCGAUGAAAAUAUGUGACGAUUCGUGUCGGUUGAGAUGUUAAAAGAAUCGCGAUACACGCUUUAAACAGCAGGGGGUGCUGAAGCAGUAGCCUAUAUUCUGACCUCGCUUUACAGGCGCGAUAGCAGCGAACAAGCUGUAGCUUUUAACAGAAGCAAAAAUGGCGGCGGCAAGUGUAGAUGACGUUGAUAUUGAGGAUGCCCCAAACUCAUUCAAAUCGGACGUGUGGCGGCAUUUUGGCUUUCCGAAGACUAAAAAUGAAAAAGGUGAGGUGGUAACGGACAAAACAAAAACUGUGUGCAGAUACUGCAAGAAGAUGUUAAUAUACACCAAUAGCACAACAAACAUGAUGCAGCAUACAAACCGUCACCACAGUGAGAAGCUCCAGUCACCGCCGUCUGCACGUAAAAACCUGUUAGUGGGCCAAACCACACUGACCGGCAGAUUUGCAGCCCCACUCGCGGCGACGAGUGCGAGAGCCAAAGAGAUCACAAGGUGUAUCGGCGUUUUCAUGGCAAAAGAUAUGAGGCCGUUUUCUGUCGUAGAAAAUGAAGGAUUUAAGCUACUCGUCAACAAAUUGGAGCCCAAAUACACCAUCCCAUCACGCCCCCACUUUAGCCAGACUGUCAUGCCAGCGCUUUACAGGGAAACAAAAUCUAAGGUAAUUGAGACCCUCAGAAAAGCAUAUAGUGUAUCAAUUACAACCAACGGCUGUACCUCCAGGGCUACCCAGAGUUAUCUUACGGUCACAGCCCAUGUGAUAACCAGUGAGUGGGAGAUGGUUAAUUUUGUUCUCCAAACUCGCCCAUUGUUCGAAACACACACCGGAGCUAAUAUUGCUGAAGUUUUAAAAUCAGCUGUGAGUGAAUGGGGGCUUCAAAAGGCCAACCAUGGAAUUGCUGUGGUCAUGGACAACGCGAGGAAUAUGGAUGUUGCUGUCAGAGAGGCUGGGCUGACCCCCCAUGUCAGGUGUUUUGCCCACACUUUGAACUUAGCCAGCCAAGCGGGUUUGAGUGUGCCCCGCGUGAGUCGUUUGUUGGGCAGAGUGAGGCGUAUUGCUGCCUUCUUUCACCGAAGCUCCACAGCCACAGCUGCGCUCGCAGCCAAACAGAUACUACUGGAGCUUCCACCGCAUAAGUUAAUCAUCGAUGUCGCUACGCGCUGGAACAGCAGUCUGGAUAUGAUCGAACGCUAUCUCGAACAGCAAGCGGCUGUGACAGCAACUCUCCUGAGCAACGACGUUCGACGAAAUGUCCGUGACAUCGAUACUUAGGAUGGCUCAGACAUCCGUGAUGCGGAGGACAUUGUGAAGCUUCUAAAGCCACUCAAAACGGCCACCACUGUGCUGUGUGACGAAAAAAAAAACCCACUGUGUCUCUCAUUGUGCCCUUAAAGCAUAUGAUCGAGCAUAACAUGGCAUCCAACGAAGAAAAUUCCCCCACUGUGAGCAACAUAAAGAGAGCUAUACUGAACAACCUUUACAACAGAUACACUUCAGAGUACAACCACCUGCUGGAGUGCACCGCAUUAGACCCCAGAUUCCGGGCUCUGCCUCAUCUAGAGAAAGACCAACGCGAUGAUGUAUUCCACAGACUGAAGGAGAAAGCUGUACUGAUGUUGCAGAACCAGGAUGAGGGCAAAGAAGGUGCCAGUGGUCACCCCCCUGCAGCAGAGCAGCCUCUUGACCAGACAGACAGAGCAGGAGCAGAGCUGAAACAACCUCCUUCCAAGAAAACAGCAUUGGAAGAUCUCCUUGGAGGGACUUUUGAUGAACCAGUUGCAUAGCACA